CGCUGGCGGCAUGCUUUACACAUGCAAGUCGAACGGCAGCGCGGACUUCGGUCUGGCGGCGAGUGGCGAACGGGUGAGUAAUAUAUCGGAACGUACCCAAGAGUGGGGGAUAACGUAGCGAAAGUUACGCUAAUACCGCAUACGAUCUAAGGAUGAAAGUGGGGGAUCGCAAGACCUCAUGCUCCUGGAGCAGCCGAUAUCUGAUUAGCUAGUUGGUGAGGUAAAGGCUCACCAAGGCGACGAUCAGUAGCUGGUCUGAGAGGACGACCAGCCACACUGGAACUGAGACACGGUCCAGACUCCUACGGGAGGCAGCAGUGGGGAAUUUUGGACAAUGGGCGCAAGCCUGAUCCAGCAAUGCCGCGUGAGUGAAGAAGGCCUUCGGGUUGUAAAGCUCUUUUGUCAGGGAAGAAACGGUAGGAGCUAAUAUCUCUUGCUAAUGACGGUACCUGAAGAAUAAGCACCGGCU
rnacentral:rRNA from 1 species